CCAUCGCAGAUCUUCAGGAUAUGACUUUCUUCUAACCCAGGGAACACUAGUGACUCCUGUGGGACAUCUCUCAGAGAUCUUGAAAUAGCAGGGAUAUGUGGUACCACAAGAUUGGAGACAUGAACUCUACCUAAAAUGAACUUGAACAAUGAUUUUGAACCAUUAGAAAUUUACUCUCAAAACUAUUGCAUAUAACUGACCCCAUGUGUGCUGGCGACCAUCUGUACAACUAGGAACUCCACAACCUAAAUGUCAUGUAAGGUUUCUAUACACGAAUUAUUUCUGAAAAUUUUCACCAGAACUGAAAAUCUUCUUUGAGCUUAUGUCCAG